UACGGAGGGUGCAAGCGUUAUCCGGAUUCACUGGGUUUAAAGGGUGCGUAGGUGGGUCUGUAAGUCAGUGGUGAAAUCUCCGGGCUUAACCCGGAAACUGCCAUUGAUACUAUAGGUCUUGAAUUUUCUGGAGGUCAGCGGAAUAUGUCAUGUAGCGGUGAAAUGCUUAGAUAUGACAUAGAACACCGAUUGCGAAGGCAGCUGGCUACAGGAAUAUUGACACUGAGGCACGAAAGCGUGGGGAUCAAACAGG
rnacentral:rRNA from 1 species